UACGAAGGGGGCGAGCGUUGUUCGGAAUCACUGGGCGUAAAGGGCGCGUAGGCGGCCCUCUUAGUCGCGUGUGAAAGCCCCGGGCUCAACCUGGGAACGGCGCGCGAAACGGGAGGGCUGGAGUUCGGGAGAGGAGAGUGGAAUUCCCAGUGUAGAGGUGAAAUUCGUAGAUAUCGGGAGGAACACCAGUGGCGAAGGCGGGCACCUGGGCUAACACUGACGCUGAUGCGCGAAAGCUAGGGGAGCAAACAGG
rnacentral:rRNA from 1 species